rnacentral:rRNA from 1 species
AUUAUCCCAAGUAGCACGGGGCCCGAGAAAUCCCGUGUGAAUCUGUCAGGACCACCUGAUAAGCCUAAAUACUCCCAGAUGACCGAUAGCGGACAAGUACCGUGAGGGAAAGGUGAAAAGUACCCCGGGAGGGGAGUGAAAUAGAACCUGAAACCGGAUGCGUACAAGCAGUCAGAGCCCGCAAGGGUGAUGGCGUACCUUUUGUAUAAUGGGUCAGCGACUUAGUUUAUCUAGCAAGCUUAAGCCGUUAGGUGUAGGCGAAGCGAAAGCGAGUCUGAAUAGGGCGUGUUGAGUUCGUGGGAUCAGACCCGAAACCGAGUGAUCUAGCCAUGGCCAGGCUGAAGGCUGGGUAACACCAGCUGGAGGGCCGAACCCACACCUGUUGAAAAAGGUCGGGAUGAGCUGUGGCUAGGGGUGAAAGGCUAAUCAAACUCGGUGAUAGCUGGUUCUCCCCGAAAUGCAUUUA